GAUUAAGUGAAUAAGGGCGUACGGUGGAUGCCUAGGCACUUGGAACUGAAGAAGGACGCAACAAACGGCGAAACGCGACGGGGAGUGGUACGUACACAAAGAUCCGUCGAUAUCCGAAUGGGGAAACCCGGCAGCAGUAAUGAGCUGUCACCCAUGAGUGAAUACAUAGCUCAUGAGGGAGGUACCCGGAGAACUGAAACAUCUAAGUAUCCGGAGGAAAAGAAAAUAAGAAUGAUUCCGUAAGUAGCGGCGAGCGAACGCGGAGGAGCCCAAACCAGAUCUUGAUCUGGGGUUGUAGGACCACGAAAUGGCAAGAGCAUGGCUAAGAGAACGGCAUUGAAAGGCCGACCGGAGAGGGUGCAAGUCCCGUAACUGAAAGCAAUGUGAAGCCUAGUGGUAUCCUGAGUACGGCGAGACACGAGAAAUCUUGUCGGAAGCAGGCGGGACCAUCCGUCAAGGCUAAAUAUACCCAAGUGACCGAUAGUGAACCAGUACCGUGAGGGAAAGGUGAAAAGAACCGCGGGAGCGGAGUGAAAUAGAACCUGAAACCGUAUGCUUACAAGAAGUCAGAGCCCGUUAAAGGGUGAUGGCGUGCCUUUUGUAGAAUGAACCGGCGAGUUACGUUAUCGUGCGAGGUUAAGUAGAAGAUACGGAGCCGAAGCGAAAGCGAGUCUUAAUAGGGCGACAGUACGAUGAUGUAGACCCGAAACCGUGUGAUCUAGCCAUGACCAGGUUGAAGUUCAGGUGAAACUGAAUGGAGGACCGAACCGACCCCCGUUGAAAAGUUGGCGGAUGAGUUGUGGCUAGGGGAGAAAUUCCAAUCGAACACGGAUAUAGCUGGUUCUCCCCGAAAUAGCUUUAGGGCUAGCGUCGAGGCAGAGUCGCAUGGAGGUAGAGCACUGAAUGUACGAUGGCCCCAUCCCGGGGUACUGAGUAUAAUCAAACUCCGAAUGCCAUGAAGACGUACUCGGCAGUCAGACUGUGGGUGAUAAGGUCCAUGGUCAAAAGGGAAACAGCCCAGACCGCCAGUUAAGGUCCCAAAAUGUAUGCUAAGUGGAAAAGGAUGUGGGGAUGCACAGACAACUAGGAGGUUGGCUCAGAAGCAGCCAUCCUUCAAAGAGUGCGUAACAGCUCACUAGUCGAGUGACCCUGCGCCGAAAAUGUACCGGGGCUAAGCAUACUACCGAAGCUGCGGAUUCAACUUUAGAGUUGAGUGGUAGGGGAGCGUUGCAUGCACGUAGAAGCCGUACCGUAAGGAGCGGUGGAGAGCAUGGAAGAGAGAAUGCCGGUGUGAGUAGCGAGAUGUAGGUGAGAAUCCUACACACCGAUAGCCCAAGGAUUCCAGGGGAAGGUUCGUCCGCCCUGGGUAAGUCGGGACCUAACGCGAGGCCGAAAGGCGUAGUGGAUGGAAAACAGGCAGAUAUUCCUGUACCCGCGAUGGAAAUGAAGGAAUGACGGAGAAGGCUAGUGUGAGCCACUGAACG
rnacentral:rRNA from 1 species